rnacentral:rRNA from 1 species
UACGUAGGGCGCAAGCGUUAUCCGGAUUUAUUGGGUUUAAAGGGUGCGUAGGCGGCUUUUUAAGUCAGCGGUGAAAUUUUGCAGCUUAACUGUAACAGUGCCGUUGAUACUGGGGAGCUAGGAUUUGGUUGCUGUGGGUGGAAUGUGUGGUGUAGCGGUGAAAUGCUUAGAGAUCACACAGAAUAUCGAUUGCGAAGGCAGCUCACAAAGCCAAGAUUGACGCUGAGGCACGAAAGUGUGGGGAUCAAACAGGAUUAGA